GACAGAGGGUGCAAACGUUGUUCGGAAUUACUGGGCGUAAAGGGCGCGUAGGCGGCCAUCUAAGUCAGACGUGAAAUCCCCCGGCUUAACCUGGGAACUGCGUCUGAUACUGGACGGCUGGAGUUUGGGAGAGGGAUGUAGAAUUCCAGGUGUAGCGGUGAAAUGCGUAGAUAUCUGGAGGAAUACCGGUGGCGAAGGCGGCAUCCUGGACCAAUACUGACGCUGAGGCGCGAAAGCUAGGGGAGCAAACGGG
rnacentral:rRNA from 1 species